UACGUAGGGGGCAAGCGUUGUCCGGAAUUAUUGGGCGUAAAGAGCGUGUAGGCGGUCCGGUAAGUCAGCUGUGAAAGUCAAGGGCUCAACCCUUGAAAGCCGGUUGAUACUGUCGGGCUAGAGUCCGGAAGAGGCGAGUGGAAUUCCCGGUGUAGCGGUGAAAUGCGCAGAUAUCGGGAAGAACACCCGUGGCGAAGGCGGCUUUCUGGGACGGUACUGACGCUGAGACGCGAAAGCGUGGGGAGCAAACAGG
rnacentral:rRNA from 1 species